rnacentral:rRNA from 1 species
ACCUGCCAUGGGCGCAGCCUGAUGCAGCGACGCCGCGUGAGGGAUGACGGCCUUCGGGUUGUAAACCUCUUUCAGUAGGGAAGAAGCGAAAGUGACGGUACCUGCAGAAGAAGCGCCGGCUAACUACGUGCCAGCAGCCGCGGUAAUACGUAGGGCGCAAGCGUUAUCCGGAAUUAUUGGGCGUAAAGAGCUCGUAGGCGGUUUGUCGCGUCUGCCGUGAAAGUCCGGGGCUCAACCCCGGAUCUGCGGUGGGUACGGGCAGACUAGAGUGAUGUAGGGGAGACUGGAAUUCCUGGUGUAGCGGUGAAAUGCGCAAAUAUCAGGAGGAACACCGAUGGCGAAGGCAGGUCUCUGGGCAUUAACUGACGCUGAGGAGCGAAAGCAUGGGGAGCGAACAGGAUUAGAUACCCUGGUAGUCCAUGCCGUAAACGUUGGGCACUAGGUGUGGGGGACAUUCCACGUUUUCCGCGCCGUAGCUAACGCAUUAAGUGCCCCGCCUGGGGAGUACGGCCGCAAGGCUAAAACUCAAAUGAAUUUGACGG